UCCGCUGCUCGCACGCCGUGGCUCCUUGCCCAAUCGCAUCCACACCAGGCGAACCCUAAGCCUCCUUUCCCCCGAUCACCCAGCCGCCGCACGGCCUCGCUCCUCCUUCCCUCCCGCUGCACCCUCUCCUCGCUCGCAGCCGCCUCCUUUACACCUCCGCCUGAGCUCCGCCUUCCUCGCCGACCUCCCUCCCGCGCCUCUCCCUCCUCCUGCCUCCUCUCUCCCGCUUCACCACAGCCGCCGGUCCCCUCCCUCCCCGUCCAUCCUCUCCCUCUCGUUAGCCGCCGCUGCACGAACCUCUCGGAUGUGUGCCAGGUAGAAGGCCGGGUGGAUGUCUUUGCUCAGCAGGGGAGUGAAAGAAGGAUAUGAGGGAGAAAGAGAGGAAAGAGGAGACGGAAGUCCGGCGGCUGACGGGACAGGGUUGACGGCGGCUCGAUCCGCUCCCGGAUUGAGAGCUGCCAGGAGGCUGGGGCUUGGGCGCGAUGCACGGGAGGCUGCAGUCCACCUCUUCCUUGUGGUGCAGCGGACGCCGGCAUCAGCGGGUGGGCGACAGACCGCGGCCUCAGCGGGUGGGCGACGACACCUGCAGCUGGUGCUAUACCCAUGGAUUCCGGCACAACUCGAAACAUUCAGGUACGAACAUACAUAUAACAUGAGUUGCCAUGAAAGAUGUCUUCCCAUCUCAAGUGAUGAAGACGGCGUACCUUUAUUUUUUGACACAAGUACUGGUCGGUGUUGGAUUUGGGCUUUAUAAACUUGGCUUUCCAGCAGUUGGUUUUCCUCCAUCGCCUGCUUAUUUUCCCUCUUCGAAGAGUGAAUAAAAGAUACAUGAUGAAAUACAGGUAGACAAGUGUGUGGAAAUUGGACUUCCAGAACUCAUCCUAAUGGUCGCAUUUUCUCAGGUACACAUUACAAUUUUUUAUGAAUUUCUGCUGGACCAAACCAUUGUUUAAAUGGUUUUGAAUGAGGUGAUGUUGUACUAAUCAUGUUUGUUUCCUAGACGAUAUUUUCCUCAUCUGUUGCAUUCUGGAAAGUGUCUUUGGUCGGUUUUCUGUUCUUUUCACCGUUUCAAUCGUGUGACUGUACACAUGUAUCCUCACAAUUAGUGGCGCUUACAAGAAUGGCGGGCCUACCUGUAGCUUUUCUUAUGUAGUUAAAUAAAACAACCCAGGGUCUCACACUUUACUUCCUUUCUAAUAUAAUAAGGCUGCUAUUGCCUGUUAAUACUUCACAUUGGCGAUGAGCUUUACACCAGUUAUAGUUCAUCGAUUAUCUUCUGCCUUUUUGAUAAACAUAAUUAUAUGUUAAUUUGCUAUACUGUUUUCUUACUUUUUUUAUCAAACUGCCAUAUAUGAUACACGAAGAAGCAUUUACCUGAAGGCAUUAAUAGCGUUUUCACAUAGAAUUUGUUCUUUUUUUGCUCCCUUAAUUAGAUGCUCUAGAAACCUGAUAAGUGUCACGUUGAUUCAGACUUGGUGCUAGAUGUGUUAGCCCCCAUUUAUCCUUGACAAGUACCGUAUUCUCAAAUCUAUAUGGUUGGUUGUACUUCUUUUAUGUUGGAGCUACAGAUGCAUCUCGGUCAUUUACGGAAACUAAAAUCUGCAUCUUCAGCUCAUAGUUUGCCAAAAUUUCUUGAGAUUUAUUCAUAUUGUUCUUAUUAGGUACUUCAAGUCAAACUUUCUUGAGAUUUAUUCAUGUUGUUCUUAGGUACUUCAAGUCAAACUGUACAUGCAAUUAAUGGGGCUACAUGAUAGUCACUUUAAUAUAUCUUCUUGGAAGCCGCUUAGUGUUUCCAUGAAUAAUUGUCGCUGGUCUGUUGCACGCCUUCAUUGUUUGGUGGGCUACUUCCUGCCUGAUGUGGUUGAAGAAUUUUUAGAGGCAUGGUUCAUCUUGCGUGCAGCUUUUAGUUUGAGUUUCUAUUGACACAUUACAUUCCUUUUCAUGUAGACCUCUCCUUUUUCAUUUUUUAUAGCUGGGUGUAAUAGCAAGUCGUCUAUAAUCAUUUUGUUUAACUACAAUCCGAUGCAAAAAACUUCUGUUUAGUCCUCAUAGUUCAUCCAUAAUAUGUUUGCUUUCAAAACAAAGAAAUCGGGGGUCCAGGUUCUGAUCAUGCUCCGAUUGAGUCUAUGUAGCUGUCCUUGGUUUUUUUCUAUACGCUUGCAUCAUCUAGGUUCUGACCAUGGCACAAUCUUGUUUCAAAUUUGUUCUCAUAUAUGUAUGCGCCGUGAUGAUUGAUGAGGCGUAUUGGUGGAAAUAAAUCUGAAGCAAAUAAGAGCUGCGAGCAACUGGUUGUGCCCCUGUUAACCUGCUCAAUAUUCGUGUUGUUUGCCUGUCGGUCAAAUGCCCGCUAUUCAGCAGACAGGCAAGACAAAACUUGAAAGGUGAUCUGGGACAAGUGGAAGGAGGGAAGCCGCUGUAAGAUCGAUAAUAACUUGCCGACAAGAGCAUGUUCAUUCAGACGUUUCCUUACUAAAAGUUAUUUAUCUGUAGCAAGUGUUUCUAUUGGAACUAUCAAAUUCAAACUCCUAGGUGUCUAUGUCAGGAUGUAGGACUUUGUCCGGGCAGCGAUACCCCCUCUGAUCUUUUCGUGAAUACUUUCACAAUUCUUUCUGUAAAGUGCUGCUGAUUUUAAUAAAAUCCCUUUGUUCAAAAAACAAUAUAAUUCAAGCUCCUAGAAGAGCUUGUUCAUUCA